rnacentral:lncRNA from 1 species
CACAACACGACCUCAGUGACAGCAGCCACGGCGGGCCAGGAUCUGUGCUAAGGGUUUUCCAUGCCUCCGUUGCACGUACCCUAACAACCACCCAAGGAGGGGGUGUUGUCUUUGUAUCCCAGAACGGUUAAGCAGCUUACUUGGGAUCACACAAUCCACAGACUUCCCUUGUUGAGGUGAGGCAGCGCCUUCGACGUCUCUGACUCCUAGGCCAGGUGUGUGUCUAGCUCCGUGAUGGAAGGUGCCAGCUUCCCUUGUAAGUGACCAGCAUGGGCUCUGCUUCACCCUUCCGGGCUCCCAGCUUACCCAGACCUUAGCAGUCUGCUGACUCCAGCUUUCAGCAGAGCAGAAACAACGCCUUGGGAAGACUUAAAACAACUUUGAAUAAGAACCUGCUUGAGAAAGAUUUGCCUUACAAGCUAAAUGUUACAUUUCCACUCAACAGAAAGAUGAGCUCAGUCGUUGUUUGGCAAUUGAAAAUCUGAGUUGCGUCAGCACACUUCCCCAAAUCCCACUGCAGGCGGAGGAUGAUGAAGCUUUCCUUUCUGGGGUGUUUGUUUUACGUAAGUAGUGACUUACUUUUCAGAGGUAAAAAAAAAAAAAAAAUCUGUGUUGAUAUAUGUCUCCCUCAAACCAAAAAUAGGACUGGGGAUUGAUUUAAACGUUUGCAGUUCCCCAUUUGAAGAUGACAGAAAGCCCAUAUCGACUGGUUCUGCCUUUGUUUUUGUUUUUCACUAAUUUAUAUUCACAAAAUGAAGCCAUAAGCUUAGACCUCACCGAAUGGAAAACAGGCAUGGACUUCAGCAGGCAAUAUAUUAGCAUAUUUAUCAACAUCCUUUAGAUUUUUGCUUUCAUUUUUUAAAUUACCAUGUAAACUUGAAGAUAACCCCAGUUUUCCCAUUUGUGGGAACAUAAGAAAGGGAGAUGAAAAAAAAUAAUAUUUGUCCCUUAUCUAUGAAGUGCUUUUAUUUUUUAAAUUUUUUUUAUUACCUGAAGAACUACAUUAUCGUCAAUAUGAAGUGCUGUUUUUUUAAGCAUUAUGAUUAGACUUAAGGAUUCUAAGGACUAAAGUAUUAAGGUGUUUUUUGUUGUUAUUUGCUAAUCAUUAAUCAACUGUUUUACCUGAUUAAUUUUCUCUUUGGGAAAAUAGAUUGAGAUUGUGAUCUGGGAGACCAAAGUAGACAUUACUUUAUCAAUGAAGAAGGACCUUAAGGUUAACGAAACAAAAAGUUGGCCAGGUGAGGUGGCUCACGCCUGUAAUCCCAGCACUUUGGGAGGCAGAGGUGGG